rnacentral:misc_RNA from 1 species
UGUGGGAGCUGGCUUGCCUGCGAUGCGGACACCUCGGUGUAUCAGUGAUACCGAGCCGAUGCUAUCGCAGGCAAGCCAGCUCCCACA